rnacentral:rRNA from 1 species
CAGCAGCCGCGGUAAUACGUAGGUGGCAAGCGUUGUCCGGAAUUAUUGGGCGUAAAGGGCUCGCAGGCGGUUUCUUAAGUCUGAUGUGAAAGCCCCUGGCUCAACCGGGGAGGGUCAUUGGAAACUGGGAAACUUGAGUGCAGAAGAGGAGAGUGGAAUUCCACGUGUAGCGGUGAAAUGCGUAGAGAUGUGGAGGAACACCAGUGGCGAAGGCGACUCUCUGGUCUGUAACUGACGCUGAGGAGCGAAAGCGUGGGGAGCGAACAGGAUUAGAUACCCCGGUAGUCCCUGUCUCUUAUAC